rnacentral:rRNA from 1 species
ACAUGCCUACAACAUAAUGUUAAUGCACCAAAUCCCAUUAGAACUCCGUAGUUAAGCACACCCAGACUAAAGUAGUACUGGGAUGGGUGAUCUCUAAGGAAUUCCUAGUGUUUUACAUGCC